GGGUGUGUUAGUUUCCUUUUGGUUUUGAAAAUGGCAUCAUGUGUGGUGACGGUGGCGCAGGAUGGGACGGGGGAUUACAGGACGGUGCAGGAGGCAAUAGAUAGGGUGCCGCUGUGCAACACUCGUCGGACUCUGAUUCGUAUAUCACCUGGGGUUUAUAGACAGCCGGUGUAUGUGCCAAAGACUAAGAACCUCAUUACACUCGCGGGUCUUUGUCCCGAAAACACCGUACUCACUUGGAAUAACACCGCCACUAAAAUUGAACACCAUCAGGUUCAGUACCUAGUAACUACUCAUCUGUGUUUAUGAACGUGUUCCCAAAACGGUAUUUUUUUUAACUAAUAUAUAUAUAUAUAUAUCCCAAAACGGUAUUUUUUUUAACUAAUGUUCAGUACCUAGUAACUACUCAUCUGUGUUUAUGAACGUGUUCCCAAAACGGUAUUUUUUUUAACUAAUAUAUAUAUAUAUAUAUUCCUCAGGCUGCGAGGGUAAUUGGGACUGGGACUUUUGGGUGUGGCAGUGUGAUUGUGGAAGGAGAAGAUUUCGUUGCUGAGAAUAUCACUUUCGAGAAUUCUGCACCUGAGGUUGCCUUUUAUUUAUUAUAUAUAUGCUUGAUGAGUUUACAUAUUUGUUCUUUGAUAUUUUUGAUGAAAAAUGAGGCCUAAGUUAAUUGAUGAUCUUGUUAUGUUAGUGAGUAAUGUUUCGAUCUUGGCUGAUUUGGUUUUUGGUAAAAUGGGGAGACUUUUUUUUUGUUAAGUUGCACACAUACUCACUGAUUUUUUAUUAUUUCUGCAUAUGCUAUGAUUUUCGGCAUAGGGUUAUAUAAUAUGUUGGGUCUCUCGUAAAAGGGCAAUUUUCAUUCUAGCUUUAUGAUUUCUUAGAGUGUCCGCAACUGCAUCGUGCUCUGUUAAAAUUUGAUGUGGAGAUCUGGGUAUUAUUGGAGGUGCUUAUUUUGAGUUGAUUAUAAAUGCUUUAAUAAUUUCUUUAAUAUGAUCUUUGAAGUUGUUAUUCAGCACUCUCUGUCUUCCUCAUUAUAGGGUUCCGGCCAAGCUGUGGCAAUCAGGGUAACUGCAGACCGAUGCGCCUUCUAUAACUGCAGGUUUCUUGGUUGGCAGGUUUGUUAAAUUUCAAUAUCGAUGACUAUGUUUGAUUAGGGAUUCAUGAAAUGUAACUUGCAUAUCUCAGAUUCUUGACCAGGUUAUUGAUUUUCUGGACAUAACCUAGGUGACAGAUUCCAUUUGAACAGUAAUUUUGCCUGUGAAUGAUGUAUUGUGUGAAAACUUUCUAAAAGUCAAAGCAGCACCCAAUAUAGAUGUUUACCAUUUAAAAUUUUGCUAUAGUUGGAAAAAGGAUUUGCUUCAUAAGCAGUAUGAUAGACAUUUUCGGCACAGAGAUAUAGGAUCUAUCAUAUAUCAACCGAGGGCAGUGGAUGAUAACCUGGAUGCUUGUAUGUGCAUAUUAAUUGCAUUAAAAUUGUUUCAUCUUCAGGAUAAAUCAGAAAAAUAUCACGUUCAUUUUUGUUUUACAAUUGCAAUUCUAGAUAUACAGUUGCUGAUUGUUAUUUUGCAUGCAGGAUACUCUUUACUUGCAUUAUGGAAAACAGUAUCUGAAAGAUUGCUAUAUUGAAGGAAGUGUGGAUUUUAUAUUUGGGAAUAGUACUGCUCUCAUAGAGCAUUGUCAUAUCCACUGCAAGUCGCAAGGUUUUAUUACUGCACAAAGCAGGAAAUCCUCUCAGGAGACAACUGGUUAUGUGUUUUUGAGGUUUGUAUUUGCUCAUUUUUCUUUUCCUUUCUUUUUCACUUUGUUAUCACUAAUGGCAUUUAUACAGUUUAAACCUGCAAAGCUUUUUUAGGGCUCAAAUUUGUUCCUUGAAAACUUCAAUAUAUAUCAGCAAAUGAUCUUUUGAACCCCUUGAAAAAUUAGAGAGUUAUUUGGGCCACUGAACUGCAAUUAUGAUUUUUUAUAUCCUCAUUGUUUAACGUAACCAGUCCCCUCCCUGAAGAAAGGCAUGCAUAUGAAGCAUGGACUUCAAUAAUAAUGUUCAUGUAUAUGGUGGAAUGAUUUGUUUGGAUUAGCAAGAGUUUGACUUGGCUCCUUUUAGAACUUUCUGAGACAAACUUAGAACACUGAUUUUCUAGACACUUCCAUCUGUUGUAGUGUUCUCUAAGGGCUGGUUCCAGGCAUUUUCUCCAUGAUCUUAUGCCUUAUGUUCUUGAAAUACAUUCAUCAUAACUUGCUGGCUCACUGAAAUUGGGUGGGAUGAUUUUUCAUAUGUGACAACACUGAAAUCAUGUUAGAAGGAUUGUGCCAGACAAAGAUAUCCUAAUUCUUUGGUAGUACCUUUGUUUCCGAUGCCUAAUGCUCUCUGUAAUCCUCUUGUUUUUUCUUACUUCUUCCUAACAGUUUAUCUACUUGAUGCAGAUGUGUGAUCACUGGGAAUGGAGGGACAGGAUAUAUCUAUCUUGGACGCCCAUGGGGACCUUUCGGAAGGGUGGUCUUUGCAUUUACAUAUAUGGAUCAAUGUAUCAGACAUGUAGGCUGGCAUAACUGGGGCAAAGUGGAGAACGAGAGGAGUGCUUGCUUUUAUGAGUAUAGGUAUCUCAUGUUUAUGCAUAUCUUAAAUACAUUCAAUUUAAUUGUGUUUCCCAGUCAUCAGAGUUAAUUGAGUUCCGUUUGCACAAUCAAAACUGUAGGUGUUUUGGACCAGGUAGCUGCCCAGCAAAACGCGAAACCUGGGCUAGAGAACUGUUAGAUGAAGAGGCAGAACAGUUUCUCAUGCAUAAUUUCAUCGACCCAGAUCCUCAAAGACCUUGGCUUGCCCAGAGAAUGGCCCUGAGGAUACCAUAUUCUGCUUAAAGAUCACAAUUGAAUAAGACAAGC
rnacentral:lncRNA from 1 species